GGCUUUCAAGUCAGGUGUGAAAUCCUACAGCUUAACUGUAGAACUGCACUUGAAACUGGGAGCCUAGAGUAUGGGAGGGGCAGAUGGAAUUAGUGGUGUAGGGGUAAAAUCCGUAGAUAUCACUAGGAAUACCGAAAGCGAAGGCGAUCUGCUGGAACAUAACUGACGCUAAGGCGUGAAAGCGUGGGGAGCAAACAGGAUUAGAUACCCUGGUAGUCCACGCCCUAAACGAUGAACACUAGUCGUCGGAGUACUAGUUACUUCGGUGAUGCACUUAACAGAUUAAGUGUUCCGCCUGGGGAGUACGGUCGCAAGAUUAAAACUCAAAGGAAUAGACGGGGACCCGCACAAGUGGUGGAGCAUGUGGUUUAAUUCGAAGAUACGCGAAGAACCUUACCUGGCCUUGACAUUGAGAGAAUCCGCUAGAGAUAGCGGAGUGCCCUUCGGGGAGCUCGAAAACAGGUGCUGCACGGCUGUCGUCAGCUCGUGUCGUGAGAUGUUGGGUUAAGUCCCGCAACGAGCGCAACCCUCGUCCUUAGUUGCUAGCAGUUCGGCUGAGCACUCUAAGGAGACUGCCUUCGUAAGGAGGAGGAAGGUGAGGACGACGUCAAGUCAUCAUGGCCCUUAUGGCCAGGGCUACACACGUGCUACAAUGGGGCGUACAGAGUGUUGCGA
rnacentral:rRNA from 1 species